AGUUGGUAGAGCAACUCAUUCGUAAUGAGUAGGUCGCUGGUUCGAAUCCGGUAGUCGGCA
rnacentral:tRNA from 1 species